rnacentral:rRNA from 1 species
ACUCCUACGGGAGGCAGCAGUGGGGAAUAUUGCACAAUGGGGAAACCCUGAUGCAGCCAUGCCGCGUGUGUGAAGAAGGCCUUCGGUUGUAAAGCACUUCAGUAGGGAGGAAGGUAGUGUAGUUAACACCUGCAUUAUUUGACGUUACCUACAGAAGAAGCACCGGCUAACUCCGUGCCAGCAGCCGCGGUAAUACGGAGGGGUGCGAGCGUUAAUCGGAAUUACUGGGCGUAAAGCGCAUGCAGGCGGCCUGUUAAGUCAGAUGUGAAAGCCCGGGGGCUUAACCUCGGAAUUGCAUUUGAAACUGGCAGGCUAGAGUCUUGUAGAGGGGGUAGAAUUUCAGGUGUAGCGGUGAAAUGCGUAGAGAUCUGAAGGAAUACCAGUGGCGAAGGCGGCCCCCUGGACAAAGACUGACGCUCAGAUGCGAAAGCUGGGGAGCAAAC